CACAUCACGAAAGUGGAUUGUACUAGAAGUCUGCAGGCUGACCCGCAAGGGAGGCAGCGGCCCAAGGUAUGAUCCAUGAUUGGGUG
rnacentral:rRNA from 1 species